CCUACUGCCGUGGGCCUGCCCCUAAGCCGCUCCCAACUCAGGUCGUCAAGAGUUUUUUUGUAUCAGUUAUGCAAAGGAAUUGCACACUGCCAUGGCCAUGGUGUCCUUCAUCGGGAUUUAAAGCCCCAAAAUCUAUUGGUUGACAAGGAGAAGAUGAUACUGAAAAUUGUAGA